UACGUAGGAUGCAAGCGUUGUCCGGAAUUAUUGGGCGUAAAGAGCGCGCAGGCGGCCUAUCAAGUCAGAUGUGAAAUAACCAGGCUUAACCUGGUGGGGUCAUUUGAAACUGGUAGGCUAGAGUACAGCAGAGGAUAGCGGAAUUCCCGGUGUAGUGGUGAAAUGCGUAGAUAUCGGGAGGAACACCAGUGGCGAAGGCGGCUAUCUGGGCUGCAACUGACGCUGAGGCGCGAAAGCUAGGGGAGCAAACAGG
rnacentral:rRNA from 1 species